GUUUUUAAAUAUCUUUCUGGCUUUGGCCCAUUUUCUAAUUAAAUUGUUCUUCUACUGUUGUUUUGAGAGUUCAUCAUGUAUUUUAAAUGUACACCCUUUUUUUUUUUUUAAUAUUUGUUUGUAACUAAUUCCAGUGGAAAUUUCAGGGGACCGGAUUCCCUCUUCUAGUGUCCAAGGGUGCUUACUGCCCACAUGUGGUACACAGACAGGCCUUUAGGUAAAACACUCAUACACACUAUUAAAAUAGUUAAAAAAUAAUUUUUAAAGAAAGAAAAUUAAUUUUUUUUUCUUUGUCAUUGCCCAUUGAGGUAAAUACCAUGCCUAAUUAUGCCAGUAUCCUCUUGCUCUGUGGUUUAACUUGUAUAUGUGUUUCUUCGGUUUUAUUCAAAAUAAUAAUUUUUCAUAAUAUGAUAUACAGUAGUACAUUAAGUACUUUAGUGGUGUGUAUUAGAUACUCUUGGUUCAGUUUCCACACUAAUUUGGUAGUGCCAAGUCACCCUAGCAGUACUAUAGCAAAUGUAAAUUGUGAUGGUGACGGUGUACUCUUUAUAGACCAUGAUGCUUGUAUAGGGGUGGUAUUGAAAUCAUCUAAAAGACAUUGACUCACUAGAAUGCCACUGUCAUAUUUUUAUGAGCACCUUUGAGUUAGUAUAAAAUAGUUUCUAACUAUAAAAGAGCAUUUGCUUGGUUGACAGACAAGAGGACUUUCAGAAUACCUAAACCAUGCAUGACCCAACCUUUCUAGUUCUAUUGAGAAUGUAACUUGAGCUCUUUCUCCAUAUGUCCUUUUGUUUAAGGUGUUAUGUUAAAUUUGAGGAAUGUAAGUAUAAAUUGUUUGCUGACAGCUGGAAAGUGAUAAUAGACAUGGAUUCUCUGGGAUACUGGUUUUAAGUUUAGGUGACAUUCUCUCCUGAGGAUAACAUGUAUCUGUCUGUUGUAUUCUUGUUCACUUACUGAAUGAGGUGUUAGUAUAACUGACAAAACAGAAUGUUAAGUCCUGAAGUUAAGCGAUUUAAAUAUGAAUUUAUUCUCAUGAAAUUUUCAAUGAGAAAAUAGAAGCCAAUAACAUUUAAUUUUAUAAAAGUUCACAUAGUUCUGUGUUGUUCUUGAAGUGUCCUGUCCUGGGUGAUAGCUAUCAGAAAACUUGAAAUACAACAAAGGAAACUUGCUGCAAUGUCUCAAAACAGAGCCAGUAUCAUGUAUUGUGUAUUAGUGUCCUGCAUGCCCCUCUCCCCUACAGAAGGUUUUACUCUCUGUCUUUCAGUGCCAUUGUAUGACAUCAAGUAAGCAAACUCUUACUCUCUGGUCUAACUUAAGUCUUUUUUCUCUUAUGUAUAGUCAUUUACCCUAGUGAUGUUGUUUUUGCCCAUUCUUUUAAAAUAUUUUUGUAUUUGUUGGUGAUAAUGAAGAUGGUGAUGAUGAAGGAGAAAUGUACUAAAAGUUUAUUAGGUCUUUCUUUUUUUACCAUCUGAUAUAUUUCAUGUACUGAAGAACUUGACUCAAAGGAAAGUCUAUUUGGUGAGCCAAGCAUGUCUUCCUGCUGGAGGCUUAGGUAAUAAAAGAAAUGAGUCUUUAAACAUGUGUUAGUAGGGAAAUGGAGUAAUAAGGGAAGGAAAUUGUGAAUUAUGAGGAUUCAUACCUGAGAGAGUUCUGUUAAAAAUUAGCUUCUAUUUCAUUUCUGCAUCAAAUGCUCUAGAUUUAAAAAUAAAUGAAAAGAACCACAUUAUUUUGUUUAGUGUCAAGUCACAUUUUUGGUGUUUCUUGGUGUUUACUCACACUACAUAUAUUUGUGUUUCUACAUACAAACAAUGAAUAAUUUGGGAAUAAAAUUCAGAAAAUAAGGAUUUCCAGAAGUAAUACUAAAGUUAUUCUUAGAAUUUUGUUUGUAUCUUGUUUUGUUGUUGAGACAUGAUAACAUGUAGCCCAGCUUGGCCUCAAAGAAAGCUACUACUUAGGAAGCUGAGGCAGGAGGAUCACAAAUUCAGGCUCAGCCUCACUGAGAACUGGUCUGAAAGUUAUUAAAAGGCAAAAAGAGGCCUGAAGAUGUAUACAGGUAGUGGUUAGGCACUUUCCUAGUAUGUGUAGGCCCUAGGUUCAAUCCCAGUACUAUUAAAAAAAUAAAAGAAAUACCAUUUAU
rnacentral:lncRNA from 1 species